GACGAACGCUGGCGGCGUGCCUAAUACAUGCAAGUAGAACGCUGAAGAGAGGAGCUUACUCUUCUUGGAUGAGUUGCGCACGGGUGAGUAACGCGUAGGUAACCUGCCUUGUAGCGGGGGAUAACUAUUGGAAACGAUAGCUAAUCCCGCAUAACAAUGGAUGACACAUGUCAUUUAUUUGAAAGGGGCAAUUGCUCCACUACAAGAUGGACCUGCGUUGUAUUAGCUAGUAGGUGAGGUAAUGGCUCACCUAGGCGACGAUACAUAGCCGACCGGAGAGGGUGAUCGGCCACACUGGGACGGAGACACGGCCCAGACUCCUACGGGAGGCAGCAGUAGGGAAUCUGCGGCAAUGGGGGCAACCCUGACCGAGCAACGCCGCGUGAGGGAAGAAGGUUGUCGGAUCGUAAAGCUCUGUUGUAAGUCAAGAACGGGUGUGAGAGUGGAAAGUUCACACUGUGACGGUAGCUUACCAGAAAGGAACGGCUAACUACGUG
rnacentral:rRNA from 1 species